GCACGUAGUUAGCCGGUGCUUAUUCUUACGGUACCGUCAUUAGCCCUCUUUAUUAGAAAAGGCCGUUUCGUUCCGUACAAAAGCAGUUCACAACCCGAAGGCCUUCAUCCUGCACGCGGCAUGGCUGGAUCAGGCUUGCGCCCAUUGUCCAAAAUUCCCCA
rnacentral:rRNA from 1 species